rnacentral:lncRNA from 1 species
CCAUGUUUUUCCCUUUGUACCUUUUUAAAAAAUACUUAUGAAUGGAAUGUAUUGAACCUCCCCCAUGCUGUGCAUCUCACUUUUCUCCUGUACAAACAGGAUGUAAAGACAGGGUUAGUUGGUAGAAAGCUAUCUGCUAAUACCUAGGUUUCAAUACCUUUGAGAGACAAAGAGAGAUGUCAGUUGGCUAAUGUUGUAGGAUGGAGAGCUGGCACCCUUUUUUCUCUCUGCACAUAUGCUUUUCCCUUUUUUCUUUCAUUUCCAUAUGUCAUAUGAUAAUAAUAUAUUUUUUGCUUGUGCCAAACAAGAAAACCUAUUGGAGCUCUUUUAUUGCUUAGAUUGUCUAUGGUCUUAAAUCAUCUUUGCCAAUUUUCCUAUUGUCCUUUCUAUACUAACGACCUUGACUGCAAACCUCCAGAGUUCAAUGAAUGAUUGGGGCCUUUUUCCAAGAAGGUCUGAAGCUGUUAUUACAAUAUGAUUAAUAAUAUUUGUGGCCAUGUAUGUACAUACUUAGAUAUGUUGUGAUCCAUAUUUUUUCAAAAAAACUGUCUUGGUUAUAGAUAAUUUGGUUUCCACCUGUGAGAGCAAUAAUAAAAUCUGCAUACAGCCGGGCUCAGUGGCUCACUCCUGUAAUCCCAGCACUUUGGGAGGCCGAGGCGGGCAGAUCACGAGGUCAGGAGAUCGAGACCAUCCUGGCUAACAUGGUGAAACCCCGUCUCUACUGAAAAUACAAAAAAGUAGCUGGAGGUGGUGGUGGGCACCUGUAGUCCCAGCUACUCGGGAGGCUGAGGCAGGAGAAUGGUGUGAACCCAGGAAGCAGAGCUUGCAGUGAGCUGAGAUUGCGCCACUGCACUCCAGCCUGGGCAACAGAAUGAGACUCCAUCUCAAAAAAAAAAAUCUGUAUACAAGUGGUUAACAUUUUCUAAAAUAUUCAAGCUUCUGCUAAGUACUAGAAAUGAUCCAAGGGAUACAGUGAUGAGAAGAGUAAACAUAGUAGUCUAGUGAGGGAGACAGACAAUAGACAAGCAGCAAAUACAUAAAUACAAAUUCUGGUCAGUUACAGAGGAAAGCAUCAGGAUGCCAUGCUGGAGAAUGAAAGGUCCAGCUUCAGUAGGGUAGUCAGGGCAGGGACUGCAUUUCUGAAGAUGGGACAGUUAAGCUGAAAUUUGGAGGUCAAGAAGGAUGCAGUCAUGCUAGGAUGGCAGAGAAAGCCAUUGCAGGCAGAGCAGAAGCAAUGUUUUUUGUUUGUUUGUUGGUUUGUUUUUUAAAGCCUGUUCUUUGAGCAGGAACUAUUUGUUUGGGGGUGAGGAUGGUUGUGGAGCAUGGACAUCCAUAUUUUGUUCCCAGUGAAUGAGGUCUAGGAUCAGGAAUGUAGACUAUGAUCAUGAGUCAAGAUUUCUUAGAGAAUCCUUUGUAUUUCCAUACUCACCUCUACAGUGCUCCCAUUUUAGUCCUUGCUGUCAGCUCAGUAGCUGCAGACCCAUGUAGAUAAGUGCUGUAUGUUGUCUUCCUAGUUCCUUUAGCUCAGAGCAUGAAUAGGUGGUUGGUCCAUAGAUGCUUCUAAGUAUGACUGAAUAGCAUUAAAAAUCCUUUAUGUUAACUUGAUCUUUCAGAAUCUGUGAUUGUUAGGAGCCUUUCUUCUGGACGUUUUCAGUACAGUUUUAGCUUUUCUCUGUCAUAAGGAGUUGAGUAACUCGAAGUGAUACUAAUAGGAUCGUUUUGAGGAUGUGGUUUUGUUUUGUUUUGUUUUGUUUUUAAGAGACAGAGUUUCUCACUCUGUAGCCCAGGCUGGAGUGCAGUGGUGCCAUCAUAGCUCACUGCAGCCUCAAACUCUUGGGCUCAAGCCAUUCUCCAGCCUCAGCCUCCUGAGUAGCUAGAACUACAGGCACACACUAGCAUGCCUGUCUAAGUUUUUUAUUUUUUUAUUUUUUGUAGAGAUGGGGUCUCCUUAUGUUGCCCAGGCUGAUCUCAAACUCUUGGCCUCAAGCAAUCCUCCCAUUUUCGUCUCUUAACACUUUGGGAUUACAGGCAUGAACCACUAUGCCCUGCCCUUUAUGAUCCAUUUUGAGUUAAUUUUGUAGAUGGUGUGAGGUAGAGACCCAAAUUCAUUGUUUUGAAUGUGGAUAUUGGGUUUUCCUCACGCCAUUUGUUAAAAAGAUAAUUCUUUCCAGAUUAAAUUGUCUUGGCAACCUUGUCAAAAAUCAACUGACCAUAAAUGGAAGGGUUUAUUUCUGCACUCUCAGUUUUGUUUCUUUGAUUUAUAUGUCUAUUCUUAUGUCAGUGCCACACUGUCUUAAUUACUAUAGUUUUACAAUAAGUUUGGAAAUUUGGAAGUAUGAGUCCUUCACAUUUUUUUCAUCAAUAUUAUUUUAGCUGUUAUGGGUUUCUUGCAUUUCCAUAUGAGUUUUAGGAUCAGCUUAUCAACCUCUGCAAAAAAGACAAAUGGGAUUUUGAUAGGGUUUGCACUGAAUCUGCAUAUCAAUGUGGGGAGUAUUGCCAUCUUAAUAAUAUUAAGGUUUUUGAUUCAUAAAUUUGGGAUAUGGGAUGUUUAUUUGUUUAGAUCUUUUAUUUCUUUCAAUGAUGGUUUGUAUAAUAGUUUCCAGUACACAAGUCUUACAUUUCUUUUUUUUUUUUUUUGAAACAUGGCCUUGGUCUGUCACCCAGGCUGGAGUAAAGUGGCGUGAUCUUGGCUCACUGCAACGUCUGUCUCCCAGGUUCAAGUGAUUCUUUUGCCUCAGCCUCCCAAGUAGCUGGGAUUACAGGCGUGUACCACCACACCUGGCUAAUUUUUGUAUUUUUAGUAGAGACUUUCACCAUGUUGGCCAGGCUGGUCUCAAACUCCUGGCCUCAGGUGAUCCGCCCACCUUGGCCUCCCAAAGUGCUGGGAUUACAGGCUUGAGCCACCACACCCAGCCUUACAUUUCUUUUGUUAACUUUUUUCAUAAAUAUUUUUUAUGCUAUUCCAUUGUAAAUGGAAUUAUUUUCUUAAUUUUAUUUUUGGAUUGUUCAUUGCCAUAUGGAGGACUUUCUGUUUUUCUCUUGUGGUAACAUAUACAUAAUGUAAAAUUUAUCAUUUUAACCAUUCUUAAGUAUACAAUUCACUGGCAUUAAGUAUAUUCACAGUAUUCAGUGUUUUAUAACCAUCAUCACUAUCUAUUUCCAGAAUUUUGUCAUCAUUCCAAGUAGAAACUCUGUACUCAUUGAGCAAUAACUCCCCAUUACCCCUACCUCCAGCCCCUGGUAACCUCUACUGUACUUUUUGUCUCUAGGAAUUUACCUAUUCUAGGCACCUCAUAUAAGUGCAGUCACAUAGUCUUUGUCCUUUUGUGUCUGGCUCAUUUUACUUAGCAUGUUUUCAAGAUGUAUCCAUGUUAUAACAUGUAUCAGAAUUCCAUUCCUUUUUAUGGCUGAAUUAUAUUUCAUUGUAUGUUUAUACCACAUUUUGUGUAUACGUUCAUCUAUCGUUGUUUCUAGCUUUUGGCUAUUGUGAAUAAUGUUGCUAUGAACAUUGCUGUACAAGUAUCCAGUUGAGUCCCUGCUUUCAGAGUUCUCCUGGAUGUAUACGUAGGAGUAGAAUUGCUGGAUCAUAUGGUAAUUUUAUGUUUAAUUUUGGGGGUAACUAACAGCCAAACUAUUUUCCAAAGCAGCUGAACCAUUUUACAUUCCUACUAGCAAUGGACAAGUGUUUCAGUUUCUCCACAUUCUCACCAACACUUGUUAUUUUUCAUUUUUUUGAUAAUAGUCACCCUAAUAGAUGUGAAUAUUGUUUUUAAAUUAAGAAUUAAACUGCAUCUAACAAUCUUUUUAAUGGUAGAUCCCUCAGAUCAGUGUAUGGAAAGUGUGUUUCAUUGAAAAGAAAGUCAAGGAAAUUGUCUCUAUUCACUGUUAGCUUUGUUUCCUUAUUAUAAGAAUUAUAAUAAUUCCUUAUUUAAUUAUAGUAAUUUCCAUAACUUAUUAUAGUUGGGGAUAAAUCUUCAAUGUAAGCCUGGGCUUUUUAGAAGAGGAAUAUUUUAAACUUUUAUAUAUAUCAUUUUAAAGUUUGGAAAAUAUAACUCUUCCUACAUUUUCUGUGACAUUAAAGACAACAGAAACCAGUGGUAGGACUCUGCCAGACAAGGGUGAAGAGGCCUGUGGAUAUUUCUUGAACCCUUCCUUAAUGUCACCAGAAUGUUUGCCAACAACCACGAAAAAGAAAACAGAAGACAUGAGUGACCUCCCCUGUGAAAGUCAAAGGAGCAUACCUCUCGCUGUGACUGAUGCUUUAGAGCAUAUUAUGGAACAACUCAAUGUUUUGACACAGACUGUUUCAAUCUUGGAGCAGCGACUGACUUUGACAGAGGAUAAGCUGAAAGACUGCCUUGAAAAUCAGCAAAAGCUUUUCAGUGCUGUCCAACAGAAAAGCUGAAUAAAAAAUUCAUUUUCAUUUGUUGGGCAGAGGCCCAAUAAAUGAACAAAUGUACAUACACUCAGGAAGGUAGUACAAGAUACUCCAUACAACACAACCAUGUGCUAUUUAUCAUGGCAUUUCUUAAAAGGGUGAGCAACAGAACAAAAGGCAGAAAAGGCAUACCUAAGGACUAAUUUAAACACAUAUCAAUGUGAAGGACUAAUUUAAAUUACUAUCAUUUAUGAUUGCAGUAAUAAAGUGAUAAGCAUUCAAGCAACUCUGUAUUUUCCCCAUAUUAUUUUAAAUGUCCAUUUUCAUUUAUAGGCCAAAUCCUGCCAGGAAAGUAACCAGAUCUCUGGAUUUCACUGUUAAGUCAUUUCAGAUUGACCAUAUUCAGACAGUCAUGGGGUGAAAUAAUUCACUUACCUCCAAAAUAGCAUCCUAUAUGCCAAUAAUGAGUUAUUGAUCUGACUAGUUGUAUGUCUUUCUGUUCAAAAUAGAAAUUAUCCUUUCUUACUAAUGCCUUGAAAGAAUGAACAAAUAAAAAUUCCCAGACCACAGAAUUUCCACAGCAAGAAUACACUUAUUUUAAUUAACAAUAGCACAGAUAUAGCAUAGGGCAGUGGGUUUUUUAGUUAAUUUAUGGCGUACUUUGUUUAUCCAUUGGCCAACCUGAAGGAAAUGAAACUCACCUAUCUUUCUAUCACAGAUGAAUGUGCUAGAUGAAUGAUUUGGGUUGUAUCUGAUCAUGGUUCACAAAAAUUAUGUUAGUGUGUUUUCAGUAUGCUAAAAAGUCAGAGUGAUACAAAAGUGAUAUUUAAAAAUAUACACACAUGUAUGUACACAUGCUUCAGAAAUAUUGUUGCUUAGGGUGAUUUGGGCAGCUAAAUAGUAAGUACUUUUUAAAAUUUUUGCAUCAUCAUCUUCCUAUUUAAUGAAUUGUGAUUUAAAACAAAAUGAAAAUAAGCCAGGUAUUCUAAAAGAUCCUGGAUACAAAUUAAGAAUUUUGCUUUAUUUUAAACCAAAUUGAGAUUAAAUUGAAGAAAAGCAAGCAAAUUAAUUUCAGCUUGAUUAUCAACCUGUAUCAAGAACAAAAAUGGGAGGAGGUGUCCACAUUUAUGGUGUGUAUAGGUAACAUGGGGAAAAUGCUAUUCUGUGUUUUGGAAAAGAAGAAAUAGUGCCGUCCUAUUUAUUUCUAUAUUUAGAAAUUUUUCUCAAAGAAAUUUCAAUUGUAUCUAUGAGAUGGGUUUCUAAGUAUCUUAUUGUGUGUUAUAAGUGCCUUUUAAUAUCAUACUAAGUGUGAGCUUCUGGACAUUUUCAAGAGCUUACAAAAACUAAGUGGCAUUGUAUUUUUAUAACCCCAUUGAGAAGACUAAGUAAGAAAUGAAAUGUCCUAUCAAUUUUAUUUUGUCAUGCUUCAAACAAUAAAGACAUUUCUGCUUUAAAAGAAAAA